rnacentral:rRNA from 1 species
AUUGAACGCUGGCGGCAGGCCUAACACAUGCAAGUCGAGCGGAUGAAGGGAGCUUGCUCCUGGAUUCAGCGGCGGACGGGUGAGUAAUGCCUAGGAAUCUGCCUGGCAGUGGGGGAUAACGUCCGGAAACGGGCGCUAAUACCGCAUACGUCCUGAGGGAGAAAGUGGGGGAUCUUCGGACCUCACGCUAUCAGAUGAGCCUAGGUCGGAUUAGCUAGUUGGUGGGGUAAAGGCCUACCAAGGCGACGAUCCGUAACUGGUCUGAGAGGAUGAUCAGUCACACUGGAACUGAGACACGGUCCAGGCUCCUACGGGAGGCAGCAGUGGGGAAUAUUGGACAAUGGGCGAAAGUCUGAUCCAGCCGUGCCGCGUGUGUGAAGAAGGUCUUCGGAUUGUAAAGCACUUUAAGUUGGGAGGAAGGGCAGUAAGUUAAUACCUUGCUGUUUUGACGUUACCAACAGAAUAAGCACCGGCUAACUUCGUG